rnacentral:rRNA from 1 species
UACGUAGGGUGCAAGCGUUAAUCGGAAUUACUGGGCGUAAAGCGUGCGCAGGCGGUGAUGUGAGACAGGUGUGAAAUCCCCGGGCUUAACCUGGGAACUGCAUUUGUGACUGCAUAGCUAGAGUACGGUAGAGGGGGAUGGAAUUCCGCGUGUAGCAGUGAAAUGCGUAGAUAUGCGGAGGAACACCGAUGGCGAAGGCAAUCCCCUGGACCUGUACUGACGCUCAUGCACGAAAGCGUGGGGAGCAAACAGG